rnacentral:rRNA from 1 species
CAACCCCUGUGACAUACCUAUACGUUGCCUCGGCGGAUCAGCCCGCGCCCCGUAAAACGGGACGGCCCGCCCGAGGACCCCUAAACUCUGUUUUUAGUGGAACUUCUGAGUAAAACAAACAAAUAAAUCAAAACUUUCAACAACGGAUCUCUUGGUUCUGGCAUCGAUGAAGAACGCAGCAAAAUGCGAUAAGUAAUGUGAAUUGCAGAAUUCAGUGAAUCAUCGAAUCUUUGAACGCACAUUGCGCCCGCCAGUAUUCUGGCGGGCAUGCCUGUUCGAGCGUCAUUUCAACCCUCAAGCUCAGCUUGGUGUUGGGACUCGCGGUAACCCGCGUUCCCCAAAUCGAUUGGCGGUCACGUCGAGCUUCCAUAGCGUAGUAAUCAUACACCUCGUUACUGGUAAUCGUCGCGGCCACGCCGUUAAACCCCAACUUCUGAAUGUUGACCUCGGAUCAGGUAGGAAUACCCGCUGAACUUAAGC